ensembl:lncRNA LMCD1-AS1 LMCD1 antisense RNA 1
AGCAAUCAGCGAGACUCCAUGGGCGUAGGACCCUCCAAGCCAGUGAGAUGAACCCGGUACCUCAGAUGGAAAUGCAGAAAUCACCCGUCUUCUGCAUCGCUCACGCUGGGAGCUGUAGACCGGAGCUGUUCCUAUUCGGCCAUCUUGGCUGCUCCCCCACUUCCUUGCUUUUUUAAGGGAUCCCUUCAGAUGAGGAGACGGAAGUCCAGAGGGUUUCAAUCGCUUGCCCAAAGUCACAGAGUCGGGAAGUGCAGAGCCAGGCCACUGCCUGGUUUUAAAUUCUGGGUGGAAAUGCAACGUGCCGGUCAACAUGGUGUGCUGGUGAGUGUGUUAUCCUCAGCGGUGCCCAGGGCACAAAUGUGCAGACCAGCUGACAGCAACAGCAGGCUCCCCUUUUCUCCAUCAGGAACUGUCAGAGGAGGCUGGAUGUGGAGGAAAGCUGGGAUUCCUUUUCUCAUUUGAAAAAUGUUGAAACAGAUGGAUAUAAAAAAAGCAAAAUGUCUUGUUCCACGUUUCCAAAAGAGGAAGUAUGAAAGGCGUAAUUGAAAUUCAAAACGUUUGGUCUGAAAAUCCUACAUCCU